GUAUGUAUAUAUAAAAGUAGUAAAAAUCUAUGUUCUAUAAGUUUUACCUUAGCCAUAUCACUGAAUUGCAUUUCCACAAACUCUUUCCAUUGAUCUUCUGGAAUCAGUCCUGGUCUCACAUCAAAUGAUUCCUCUAGAGUAUUUCUUCUAUACUUUUUCCAGAGAUGUUGCUUCAAGUCUCGACAUCUACCUCCUAAAGCAGAUAAAGUAUAUUUCCUCCUCCUUCUUGGAUCAUCAAACCAAAACUUCUUAUGUGUUUAUGUAAAUGUAAACACAAAAAAAACUCAUGAAACACUUUCAAAAUUUUUAGCAGUUUAAAAAGUAAUCUACACAUGGAAUCCUAUUUUUCUGGCUGCAUUCUAGCACACAAGGCACGUAACUCUAGCACACAUGUCACAUAACUCUCUUCUCCUUCUCUAUUAAAAGAUCUUUGACUCCACUUAUAUAGUCUUGAGAUAUACGAUGUUUUGUAAUCUAAGACUUGUCCAUUCUCAAUUCUGAAACUAUACAAGUUCAAGCAAUAAACAAACACACUCUAACUUCCAUAGAAAUGGAAAUUGGAAACCACAAACAAAAAAAAAUAAUCGAUAACUCAUGGAGUCAUAAAAAUGUCAGUUAAACAUAUAUUCUUAUUGAGACAAAAUCCAGAAGCAACAUCAAUCAAACGUGUUAAACAUCCAAUGCUCAUCAGUAAAAUACAUACCCAGAAUCAAUUUUCACUCAUUUUCAACCAAAAUUUAAAACAAUAUUCACAAAUCCAGAAUCAAUUUCACUCAGGCAAGAAGCAAAACAAGGAAAACAUGAUGAAUUGUGUGUGUUGUCAGUAUCUAUUUCAAGGAUAUGUUAAUGUUCAUGUUAAAGUCCCUUAGUUUUUUUUCCUUUUGAGAACCAUAGCAUAAUCAAAACUUCAAUAUAACAAACACAAAUCUCAAAUAGACAAAUAGUCGACAGUCAAUCUAGAGGGAGCAAGUGAAUGGUACCUUGAAUUUUGGAGUCGGCGAGAAAAAAUCAAAUCGAGAUUGAUGAGAUCGAUGACGAUUCGGGAUCUAUUGAGACUGAUGAGCGCUUGAAAUCUACUUAGAAACUCAAAGAAACAAAAAACCCCAUGAUUUGUUCGAUGACAUUGAAGUUCUCCGAAGAAGACGAUGCUCGUAUUUUCUGGGUUUGAGAAGCUUUGGAGAAGAAGAGGAUGCUCGUAGU
rnacentral:lncRNA from 1 species